rnacentral:rRNA from 1 species
UACGUAGGGUGCGAGCGUUAAUCGGAAUUACUGGGCGUAAAGUGUGCGCAGGCGGCCGCGCAAGUCGAGUGUGAAAGCCCCGGGCUUAACCUGGGAAUGGCCGUUGAAACUGGCGAACUGGAGUGUGGCAGAGGGGGGUGGAAUUCCGCGUGUAGCAGUGAAAUGCGUAGAGAUGCGGAGGAACACCGAUGGCGAAGGCAGCCCCCUGGGCUGACACUGACGCUCAGGCACGAAAGCGUGGGGAGCAAACAGG